rnacentral:lncRNA from 1 species
AGCAUGGGUCGGGCUGCACGCCACAUUGGUGAUAUAAUGAUAUUGCGCUUGGGCUGAAGGAGCCCCUCCGGAGUCUGUACACACCCCCAGUGAGCGCCGUCGACGUUAAGCGGAUAGGGUUGCACGCCGUAGCAUAUUCAUGUGCAUUGCAUUGCAUAUUUAUCUGAUACUUGGUUGUUGUUGUGAUACUGUUUGUUGUUAGUUCGUAGCUAAAUUAUAGGAUUGUUAGUUAUAGCUUUGCCUUAUGGUAUUUUCGUGGAUUUCUUGCUUUCAGACAUUUUCUAUACUUAUUAUUCACUGAGUCAGUAGUACUCACCCCUACUCCCUGCACCUUGUGUGCAGAUUCUGGUACACCGGAGGCUAAGCUGAUUCUCGUAGUCUCCAGAGAAAUUCUAGAGUCGUUGAGGCAGCUGUAUGACGUCCGCAGGACCUUGCUGCUCUUCAUUAUUUUUCUCAGCUCAUUAUUAUAUACUUUCCCAGAUUUUUAUAUUGAUAUUCAGAUAUUACUAUUAUUACU